rnacentral:lncRNA from 1 species
AGACACACAGGGUGUCGAAGGAUGAGCAAGGGGAGGCCUGGCUGGAGGGACCAAGGUGGGUCCUCCAAGGAAGUGGCAUUUCCUCUGAGCUUCCCGGGGGAGCAGAGGUUUGCCAGGUACGUGGGAGGAGCUUCCCAGAGGAAGGGCCAGCACCUGCAAAGGCCCUGGAGUGGGAGAAACCUGGAGGAAGUCGAAAGAAGCAGCUCGGCGGGGGCGGGAAUACCCCACCCACGGCCCCGGCGUCUUGCCGGGCGCUCAGCCUCCCUCUGGCCUCUGUGGAGGCCUCCCUGCAUCGCCCUCCUGGAACGUCAGCCUCUCCAGAGCGGGAACUUCCGUUCCAUCUUGUUCAAGCUGCGCCCCGGAGCCUGGAACAGCCAGCACCUGGCGCUCAGCAGGUGUUCCAUCCCAUGGAAUCUACCAGAAACUGGGGUUCCCCAAAGCCUCUGCCUGCCUUCUGCAGCUGAGCUGCUUCAGCCUCUGUGGGACACCCAUUUGAAGGAACCUGUCCAAAUCCAUGUAAGAGAUCUCCUAUUUUUUCCCUCCCACCUGAGGCUCUUCCUCCUCACCAGACACCUGUUCCAAGGAAGCUCCUGCAACUAGGUAAGAUGAAU